rnacentral:rRNA from 1 species
GGUGAACGCUGGCGGUAGACCUAACACAUGCAAGUCGAACGGCAGCACAGUAAGAGCUUGCUCUUACGGGUGGCGAGUGGCGGACGGGUGAGGAAUACAUCGGAAUCUACUUUUUCGUGGGGGAUAACGUAGGGAAACUUACGCUAAUACCGCAUACGACCUACGGGUGAAAGCAGGGGAUCUUCGGACCUUGCGCGAUUGAAUGAGCCGAUGUCGGAUUAGCUAGUUGGCGGGGUAAAGGCCCACCAAGGCGACGAUCUGUAGCGGGUCUGAGAGGAUGAUCAGCCACACUGGAACUGAGACACGGUCCAGACUCCUACGGGAGGCAGCAGUGGGGAAUAUUGGACAAUGGGCGCAAGCCUGAUCCAGCCAUACCGCGUGGGUGAAGAAGGCCUUCGGGUUGUAAAGCCCUUUUGUUGGGAAAGAAAAGCAGCAGGUUAAUACCCCGCUGUUCUGACGGUACCCAAAGAAUAAGCACCGGCUAACUUCGUG